ensembl:ncRNA ZK867.23 ncRNA
CAGGUUGAAAGAUGAUGAGAUGAAGAGAUCGUUUAGUGCAUGAUGUGAUUCGAAUAAAUUGAGAGGGGAGAAGCGGAUUUCAGGAAACAAAGAAAAAAGCGUAAAUAUUCAAUUUGUUAAACUUUGAUUCUCUGUAUAUACUCUGUUA